ensembl:lncRNA
AUUGCAUUCAUCUUGUAAUUCAUCUUAAAAGUUUUUCCAGAAAGGACUAUAGAGACAUUGGCUUCUACAGACAAUGGAAUCAGCCAGAUGAGCUAUUCCAAGAACAUCAGAAACUAAAGUGAAGUUUAGAGCUCCUGAGACUUCAGGAGGAUGGGUUUCCUGUUGGACGCCAAAUUGUUCAAGACCCAGCAACGAACCCUUGCAGUGAAGAAGGCCAUAAAUGACCCUGCUCUGAGAAGGGAAUCAGACCUAAUUAUUUCCAGAAGUAGCUGAAUGCUGUUCUCUGUUUGUGUGGAUGGGAAUACUUUCUUCUCCGAGAAAAGGACUUGCAGAGAAUUUCUCGUAUAAACAAAAUACACAAGAAAGAUGUUUCUUCAAGAAGAAGAAAUAUUUUGAUGAAUUACUGUGGUUAUCAGAGGAAAUAUCACUUCCAUUAGUACAAUGUAUGUGUCUGCAAUCUAACAAUAAAGGAUACAGAAUCCAACAAUACAGAACUGCUUUGUGUGGUUCUGAUUGUGGGUCUUUAAGGUACUGCCACUGUAAAAUGAAACAACGUGUGACGGAAUGGAGUAUGAAAAAGCAUUCUGGAGAGGAAAUGAGAGGGUGCCAGGGAGGCUUUCAGGAUUAA